AUUAAAAACCAAUGCCCUUCGGGGCUCCUUGGUGAUUCAUGAUAACUUCGCGAAUCGCAUGGCCUUGCGCCGGCGAUGGUUCAUUCAAAUUUCUUCCCUAUCAACUUUCGAUGUUUGGGUAUUGGCCAAACAUGGUUGCAACGGGUAACGGAGGGUUAGGGCUCGACCCCGGAGAAGGAGCCUGAGAAACGGCUACUACAUCCAAGGAAGGCAGCAGGCGCGCAAAUUACCCAAUCCCGACACGGGGAGGUAGUGACAAUAAAUACUGAUACAGGGCUCUUUAGGGUCUUGUAAUUGGAAUGAGUACAAUUUAAAUCCCUUAACGAGGAACAAUUGGAGGGCAAGUCUGGUGCCAGCAGCCGCGGUAAUUCCAGCUCCAAUAGCGUAUAUUAAAGUUGUUGUGGUUAAAAAGCUCGUAGUUGAACCUUGGGCCUGGCUGGCCGGUCCGCCUCACCGCGUGCACUGGUCCGGCCGGGCCUUUCCCUCUGUGGACCCCAUGCCCUUCACUGGGUGUGGC
rnacentral:rRNA from 1 species